rnacentral:rRNA from 1 species
UUGCUCUUCAACGAGGAAUGCCUAGUAAGCGCAUGUCAUCAGCAUGCGUUGAUUACGUCCCUGCCCUUUGUACACACCGCCCGUCGCUACUACCGAUUGAAUGGCUCAGUGAGGCCUCCGGACUGGCUUGAGGAGGUUGGCAACGACCACCUUGAGCCGGAAAGUUCGUCAAACUCGGUCAUUUAGAGGAAGUAAAAGUCGUAACAAGGUUUCCGUAGGUGAACCUGCGGAAGGAUCAUUACCGAGAGUUGUAGGCUUCUGUCUACCAUCUCUUACCCAUGUCUUUUGGGUACUUAACGUUUCCUCGGCAGGUCCGCCUGCCGUAGGACAAUUAUAAACCAUUUGCAGUUGCAGUCAGCGUCUGAAAAACAUAAUAAUUACAACUUUUAACAACGGAUCUCUUGGUUCUGGCAUCGAUGAAGAACGCAGCGAAAUGCGAUAAGUAGUGUGAAUUGCAGAAUUCAGUGAAUCAUCGAAUCUUCGAACGCACAUUGCGCCCCUUGGUAUUCCAUGGGGCAUGCCUGUUCGAGCGUCAUUUGUACCUUCAAGCUCUGCUUGGUGUUGGGUGUUUGUCUCGCCUCUGCGUGUAGACUCGCCUUAAAACAAUUGGCAGCCGGCGUAUUGAUUUCGGAGCGCAGUACAUCUCGCGCUUUGCACUCAUAACGACGACGUCCAAAAGUACAUUUUUACACUCUUGACCUCGGAUCAGGUAGGGAUACCCGCUGAACUUAAGCAUAUCAAUAAGCGGAGGA